CUCAUCUUCUGGAAAUACCUUGGCUGUUUUAGGGCUCUGUGACCUUUGAAGAUGUGGCUGUAAACUUCACUGUGGAGGAAUGGGCUUUACUGGGUCCCUCCCAAAAGAAGUUACACAGAGAUGUGAUGGAGGAGACCUUCAGGAACCUGGCUGCCAUAGGAAAAACACAAGAAGACCAGAACAUAGAUGAUGACCAUAGAUAUUCUAGAAGAAAUCAAAGGUAACUUUACCAACUCAUGAUAACGUAGCUCAAGAAUCUGGAAAUGGCCAGUAGUUUUUAAAGUCAAGACAACUAUCCAAGUAAGCCCAACUUCAAGGUGAUAAAUUUAAAGCAUUUCUCUCUCUAAAAGGUGCAUAUAGAAUUGGAAAUGUUUACAGUAUUGACUUGGCGGUGCAAGUGAUACUUUCUAAUGGUUUCAUCAACACAAACU
rnacentral:lncRNA from 1 species